CGGCGAGUGAAGCGGCAACAGCUCAAAUUUGAAAUCUGGCUUACGCCCGAGUUGUAAUUUGUAGAGGAUGCCUCUGGCGCGGCGCCCCCCGAGUUCCCUGGAACGGGACGCCAUAGAGGGUGAGAGCCCCGUACGGGUGGACGCCUAGCCUCUGUGUGGCACCUUCGACGAGUCGAGUAGUUUGGGAAUGCUGCUCUAAGCGGGAGGUAAAUUUCUUCUAAAGCUAAAUACCGGCCCAAGACCGAUAGCGCACAAGUAGAGUGAUCGAAAGAUGAAAAGCACUUUGAAAAGAGGGUUAAACAGCACGUGAAAUUGUUGAAAGGGAAGCGCUUGAGACCAGACUUGCGCCCGGCGGAUCAUCCAGCGCUCCGCGCUGGUGCACUCCGCCGGGCCCAGGCCAGCAUCGGCUCUCCCAGGCGCAUAAAGGCGGCGGGAACGUAGCUCCCUAGGGAGUGUUAUAGCCCGCCGCGGAAUACGCCCGGGGCGGCCGAGGUACGCGCUCCGCAAGGAUGCUGGCGUAAUGGUCUCCAGCGGCCCGUCUUGAAACACGGACCAAGGAGUCAAGCAUUAGGGCGAGUGUUUGGGUGUCAAACCCGCACGCGUAAUGAAAGUGAAUGCUGGUGAGAGCUUCGGCGCAUCAUCGACCGAUCCUGAUGUUCUCGGAUGGAUUUGAGUAGGAGCCUUAACGCUUGGACCCGAAAGUUGAUGAACUAUGCCUGUAUAGGGUGAAGCCAGAGGAAACUCUGGUGGAGGCUCGCAGCGGUUCUGACGUGCAAAUCGAUCGUCAAAUAUGGGCAUGGGGGCGAAAGACUAAUCGAAUCAACUAGUAGCUGGUUACCGCCGAAGUUCCCUCAGGAUAGCAGUGUUGUUUUCAGUUUAUGAGGUAAGCGAAUGAUUAGGGACUCGGGGGCGCUAUU
rnacentral:rRNA from 1 species